GAUGAACGCUGGCGGCGUGCCUAAUACAUGCAAGUCGAGCGAACAGACGAGGAGCUUGCUCCUCUGACGUUAGCGGCGGACGGGUGAGUAACACGUGGAUAACCUACCUAUAAGACUGGGAUAACUUCGGGAAACCGGAGCUAAUACCGGAUAAUAUAUUGAACCGCAUGGUUCAAUAGUGAAAGACGGUUUUGCUGUCACUUAUAGAUGGAUCCGCGCCGCAUUAGCUAGUUGGUAAGGUAACGGCUUACCAAGGCAACGAUGCGUAGCCGACCUGAGAGGGUGGUCGGCCACACUGGAACUGAGACACGGUCCAGACUCCUACGGGAGGCAGCAGUAGGGAAUCUUCCGCAAUGGGCGAAAGCCUGACGGAGCAACGCCACGUGAGUGAUGAAGGUCUUCGGAUCGUAAAACUCUGUUAUUAGGGAAGAACAAAUGUGUAAGUAACUAUGCACGUCUUGACGGUACCUAAUCAGAAAGCCACGGCUAACUACGUG
rnacentral:rRNA from 1 species